GGAUGUGAGGGCAAUCUGGCUACGACAUCUGUCACCCCAUUUAUUGCUAGGGUUGAUUCAGCUGAUCUGGCUGGCUAGGCAGGUGUCCCCUUCCUCCCUCACCACUCCAUGUGCAUCCCUCCCGAAGCUGCGCACUCGGUCGAAGAGGACGACCUUCCCCACUGUAGGAGGACCGUUCUUCAGUCAAGGGUAUAUAAGUAGCUGUGCUCCCAUGCUAGAGCCUCCAAACAAGCUCUCAAGGUCCUAAACUACUUCAAAGAAUUUAAAGAAAAUAUGACUAAAGAAAUAAAGGAUACUAAGAACAAUUU
rnacentral:snRNA from 1 species